UUCUGUGGAAAAGACUUCAAUACAAAGCUUUUUUUUUUUUUUUUUUUUUUAAAUAGAUUUACUUAUUGGCUGCACCGUGCAGCAUGUGGGAUCUUAAUUCCCCAACCAGGAAUCGAACCUGCGCCCCCUGCAUUGGAAGAGCGGAGUCUUAACCACUGGACUGCCAGGGAAGUCCAAUAUAAAGCUUUUUAAGAUAAUGAGUUUUGGGCACAGAUAGAUGGCUAAAAACCAUUUAAGAGCAUGCAAGCUUUGAUGUCCAUGUGACAAUGAAGGACAUUCAGAACACACUGAAGUAAAUGAUAAUUGCAGCAGAUUUGAUGCAGUCUGAGGCUCCACAGUGAAUGACUAGCAUAGACUAGCAAAGACAGCAGUACCACAUCCACGCAAGUGGUUCGUGGAGCUCAUUAAAAAUUUCUUUAACUUGACCGAAAGGAGUUUGCAAAUCAACAGAUUUUCACCCACACAUCAUUUAAAAUGGAGCAAAACAGGCACAAUAAAAUGUCAAAUUCAUUCAUGGCUUUAGUCCAAUCAGAAGUAAAAAUGGGGUUGACUUUAGUCUUUCAGUCAGAGUUCAGGGACAUCUUUUGAACGUGCAAAAAUGCAUCAUUUCAGCUUGGCCAUCUCUUCUUGAGCCUAAACCCAGAUCCACAACCCAGAUCUCUACCGAGUUUUCUCCUAUUAAAUGAUUCUGAAAUAUUGAAAGAAGCUUCAAGC